rnacentral:rRNA from 1 species
CUAACAAGGAUUCCCCUAGUAACGGCGAGUGAAGCGGGAAGAGCUCAAAUUUGUAAUCUGGCGGUCUCAGGCCGUCCGAGUUGUAGUCUGGAGAAGCGUUUUCCGCGCCGGAUCGUGUACAAGUCCCUUGGAACAGGGCGUCAUAGAGGGUGAGAAUCCCGUCUUCGACACGAACUACCGGUGCUCUGUGAUGCGCUCUCAAAGAGUCGAGUUGUUUGGGAAUGCAGCUCAAAACGGGUGGUAAAUUCCAUCUAAAGCUAAAUAUUGGCGAAAGACCGAUAGCGAACAAGUACCGUGAGGGAAAGAUGAAAAGCACUUUGGAAAGAGAGUUAAACAGUACGUGAAAUUGUUGAAAGGGAAACGAUUGAAGUCAGUCGCGUCUUCCGGGACUCAGCCUUGCUUUUUGCCUGGCGCAUUUCCCGGGGUUGACGGGCCAGCAUCGAUUUCGGUCGACGGAAAAAGGCAGGGGGAAUGUGGCACCUUCGGGUGUGUUAUAGCCCCCUGUCGCAUGCGUCGACUGGGAUCGAGGAUCGCAGCACGCCUUUAAUGGCCGGGGUUCGCCCACGUAACGUGCUUAGGAUGCUGGCGUAAUGGCUUUAAACGACCCGUCUU